rnacentral:rRNA from 1 species
UACGAAGGGGGCUAGCGUUGCUCGGAAUGACUGGGCGCAAAGGGCGCGUAGGCGGCUCAUACAGUCAGAUGUGAAAUUCCUGGGCUUAACCUGGGGGCUGCAUUUGAUACGUGUGGGCUUGAGUGGGGAAGAGGGUCGUGGAAUUCCCAGUGUAGAGGUGAAAUUCGUAGAUAUUGGGAAGAACACCGGUGGCGAAGGCGGCGACCUGGUCCGUGACUGACGCUGAGGCGCGAAAGCGUGGGGAGCAAACAGG